rnacentral:tRNA from 1 species
GCCACUGUGGCUUAGGGGUAUAGCGACGCAUUGGUAAUGCGUAGGUCGCGAGUUCAAUUCUCGCCAGUGGCU